rnacentral:misc_RNA from 1 species
UGAUAAUCAAGUUUUAUCAGUUGGAGCAGAGCCACUACUUAGUCGCUUUGACCUGAAUGGAGGUAUUAUUUCACAGAUACCAUGUGCUCCUCAGUCAUUGUUUUCCAUUUCUGCACAUCCUUCAGGGGUCACAGCAGUAGCUGGUUACGGAGGAAUAGUGGAUAUUGUAUCACAAUUUGGUAGUCAUUUGAGCACAUUCCAGUGCCGAGGAGUUCAGAAGGGACUGCCAAUGCAGCUAAUUUAACUUGGGGACAUUUUUAGAUGAAUCAGUCAAGACAGGAAACAAUUGCCUGCAAAGAAACUUGUCAGUGAGAUGUUAUGGUUAAGGAAAACCAACUUUUUUUUCUGAAAAAAACUUGGUCACCAUUUACUUGCAGCAAGCUAUAUGAGUUUCACUCUAAAAAAAGAACGAAAUUUUG